rnacentral:rRNA from 1 species
AUUGAACGCUGGCGGCAUGCUUUACACAUGCAAGUCGAACGGCAGCGCGGGCUUCGGCCUGGCGGCGAGUGGCGAACGGGUGAGUAAUACAUCGGUACGUGCCCAGUAGUGGGGGAUAGCUCGGCGAAAGCCGGAUUAAUACCGCAUACGACCUGAUGGUGAAAGCGGGGGAUCUUCGGACCUCGCGCUAUUUGAGCGGCCGACGGCAGAUUAGCUAGUUGGUGGGGUAAAGGCCUACCAAGGCGACGAUCUGUAGCUGGUCUGAGAGGACGACCAGCCACACUGGGACUGAGACACGGCCCAGACUCCUACGGGAGGCAGCAGUGGGGAAUUUUGGACAAUGGGCGAAAGCCUGAUCCAGCAAUGCCGCGUGUGUGAUGAAGGCCUUCGGGUUGUAAAGCACUUUUGGCGGGAACGAAAAGGACUGUGCCAAUACCACGGUUCGAUGACGGUACCCGCAGAAUAAGCACCGGCUAACUACGUG